rnacentral:rRNA from 1 species
CACGUAGGGCGCAAGCGUUGUCCGGAAUUAUUGGGCGUAAAGAGCUCGUAGGCGGUCUGUUGCGUCUGCUGUGAAAACCCGGGGCUUAACCCCUGGCUUGCAGUGGAUACGGACAGACUAGAGGUAGGUAGGGGAGAAUGGAAUUCCCGGUGUAGCGGUGAAAUGCGCAGAUAUCGGGAGGAACACCGGUGGCGAAGGCGGUUCUCUGGGCCUUACCUGACGCUGAGGAGCGAAAGCGUGGGG